rnacentral:misc_RNA from 1 species
AACGCACAUUGCGCCCCCUGGUAUUCCGGGGGGCAUGCCUGUCCGAGCGUCAUUGCUGCCCUCAAGCACGGCUUGUGUGUUGGGUCGCCGUCCCCUUCCCGGGGGACGGGCCCGAAAGGCAGCGGCGGCACCGCGUCCGGUCCUCGAGCGUAUGGGGCUUUGUCACCCGCUCUGUAGGCCCGGCCGGCGCCUGCCGACCACCAACCUUUUUUUUAACCAGGUUGACCUCGGAUCAGGUAGGGAUACCCGCUGAACUUAA